CUUGCUGCCCCUGGAGAAGGCUGAAACCUUGGUUUGCACGGAGCGUGCAGCAGCUAGCAAGGCUCAGGCAGCCAGACUUCUCCUCAAAACCUGGCCAGGACCUGGCAGCUGGUUACUGCCACCAUCUCCGUGCUGUGAGCACCUUCCUGAGCUCAGCUGGCUCUCCACUGGAUCAAAGCACCAGGUGCCACAUCUCACAGUGGCUCAAGGCUGCCAGAGGAACCCCAGAGGCCCAAUUCAGGGCUGCACAGCUGACCAAGAAGGAUCAACCAAUUUCCCUUCAGUGCACAGCAAAACUAC